AUGAUGGUCCCUGCUCAGCUCCUGGGUCUCUUACUGCUCUGGAUCCCUGCAACAAGUGGGGAUAUUGUGAUGACCCAGACUCCACUCAGCCUGUCCAUCAUGCUUGGACAGCCAGCAACCCUCACAUGCAAGUCAAGUCAGAGCCUUGUACAUAGUGAUGGAAAAACCUAUUUGUACUGGAUCCAGCAGAAGCCAGGCCAAGCUCCACAUCCCCUGAUCUAUCAAGUUUCUAACCGGUACACUGGAGUCCCAGACAGGUUCAUUGGCAGUGGGGCAAUUACAGAUUUCACUCUUAAAAUCAACAGAGUGGAGGCUGAGGAUAUUGCCAUUUAUUACUGUAUGCAAGUUAUACAAACUCCUCCCACAGCCCUGCACAAAAACUUGUUUUGGCAUGGCCCAGUUGCCCAAACUUGUGUGGUUUUUCUAAAAGCAGACAUUGCACACUGUCUAGUCUGA